rnacentral:piRNA from 1 species
UCAGUUCCAAAAAAAUGAGUCGCUUUGUUGC